UCUUUUUGCUGACGAGUGGCGACGGGUGNGUAAAGCUUGGGAAUCUGUCUUAUGAGGGGGAUAACUCGGGAAACUGUAGCUAAUACCGCGUACAUCUUAGGAUUAAAGUNUGGGCUCUUCGGACCACACGCCAUAAGUUGAGCCCAAGUGGGAUUAGGUAGUUGGUGGGGUAAAGGCCUACCAAGCUGACGAUCUCUAGCUAGUCUGAGAGGAUGACCAGCCACACUGGAACUGAGACACGGUCCAG
rnacentral:rRNA from 1 species